rnacentral:lncRNA from 1 species
GUUUGCUCAACAAUUUCGUUAAUAACUAAGUAACUGAUACAUGUGAUACACGAUACUGAAUCAUUGACUGUGUUUGUUCUAUCAUUUCAGUGCGCACCUUUUUCUGGUAUUAAGUUUAUUGGAUCGAGACGACAACACACGUUUGAAGGGUCAAAAUUAAAAGGUUAUUCCAUCUUGUUUUAAAUUGGAUUUCCUAGCAUAAAGGAACACAUAAUAUAAAAUUAUAAACUUUUCAGCCAAUCGAAAAUCUACAGAAACAACCAUGACAACUACAUGAAUAUUUUCAAGAGUCG